GAGAGAGGCACCAAAGAGAACUCCGAGUCGAUCUCCGAAUGAGCACAGAACCACGAUCCGGGGUGGAUGCGACCAAGCGACGAGGUAAGAGGCAACGAAACCUUGAAGACUUCAACUCAAUCAUCGAACGACCGUAGAACCACAAUCAGGGACUAAUCCACACAAAAUGAUGCAGCCUAACUGAAAGCCGUAGAGGACGAAUUAGGGGACCUCAGAGAUAUAUUUUCACAAGUUCAAG
rnacentral:lncRNA from 1 species